UGAACGCUGGCGGCAGGCCUAACACAUGCAAGUCGAACGGUAACAGGAAGCAGCUUGGUGCUUCGCUGACGAGUGGCGGACGGGUGAGUAAUGUCUGGGAAACUGCCUGAUGGAGGGGGAUAACUACUGGAAACGGUAGCUAAUACCGCAUAACGUCGCAAGACCAAAGAGGGGGACCUUAGGGCCUCUUGCCAUCGGAUGUGCCCAGAUGGGAUUAGCUAGUAGGUGGGGUAACGGCUCACCUAGGCGACGAUCCCUAGCUGGUCUGAGAGGAUGACCAGCCACACUGGAACUGAGACACGGUCCAGACUCCUACGGGAGGCAGCAGUGGGGAAUAUUGCACAAUGGGCGCAAGCCUGAUGCAGCCAUGCCGCGUGUAUGAAGAAGGCCUUCGGGUUGUAAAGUACUUUCAGCGGGGAGGAAGGGAGUAAAGUUAAUACCUUUGCUCAUUGACGUUACCCGCAGAAGAAGCACCGGCUAACUCCGUG
rnacentral:rRNA from 1 species